GGAAUGUCCAAAAGUUUCUCCAUCACAUAUGAUGGCUGGGCAACUUAGACAGAUACAGACGCACAUAGAAGAAACAUGAUGUGACGACUAGACAAACAUAGAAAGUAGAUGACCAUCUAUAAACCCAUAACAGAGACCUGGAAUAGAUUCUUUACUCACGGCCUUCAGAAGAAAUCAAUCCUGAUGACACAGUGAUUUCAGACUUCUAGCUUUCAAAAUUGUGAAUCAAUAAACUUCUAAUUUUUCAGCUGUACAAUUUGUGACAUUUUGUUAUGGUAAUCUGAGCAAACUAAUACAGCCUCAUGUUAACACAAAAUGGGGUUAUUAAACAGUACAGUACAGUAGAGAAAGUCGAAAGUGAGUCCAUCCAAUCCUUCCUAUUCUUUUUUAAUACCAGAAAAAUGGUCUUUUUCCCUUCCCUUCCUUUCCCUUGCCUUCCCUUCCCUUCCCUCCCCUCCCCUCCUNNNNNNNNNNCCCCCUCUCUUUUUUUUUCUUAUGCAAGCCCCUGAUGUGUUUCUUAGGGAAAGUUACUAAUGCCAAUUGUUCCCAUGUUCCUGUGUCCAUCUUAUACGUGUUUUCUCCCACCUUAGGGGUUCUAUGUACUUUUAACAGGAAAACAACUUUUAUUGUAACUAGGUGUUUUUGGUUUUGUCUUAACUGGGUCCUGGCUAGAAUCUUGGUUCCUCAAGUCAAGGGCCAUAACUAAUUCAUUUUAAUAUUCCUGUACCAGGUAGGAAGAGUGCAUGAAAUAUAG
rnacentral:lncRNA from 1 species